UACGUAGGAUCCAAGCGUUGUCCGGAUUUACUGGGUGUAAAGGGUGCGCAGGCGGACUUGUUAGUCAGAGGUGAAAUCUCACUGCUCAACAGUGAAACUGCCUUUGAUACUGCAGGUCUUGAAUCCAGAAGAGAGUUGUGGAAUUCCGAGUGUAGCAGUGAAAUGUGUAGAUAUUCGGAAGAACACCAGCGGCGAAGGCAGCAACUUGGUCUGGUAUUGACGCUCAGGCACGGAAAGCAUGGGGAUCAAACAGG
rnacentral:rRNA from 1 species